rnacentral:rRNA from 1 species
UCAGCCGUUAACCUAGGCCGCACCACAUAUAGCAGCCCGCCAGAAAAUUACAAGUGAAAAACUUAAAACUCCAAGGACUUGACGGUGUCCCACACCAACCUAGAGGAGCCUGUCCUAUAAUCGAUACCCCACGUUAUACCUCACCCCAUCUUGCCAAGUCAGCCUAUAUACCGCCGUCGCCAGCCUACCUCCCAAGAGCAGUACGCCGUAAGCAACAAACUUCACUUCACUCGUACGUCAGGUCAAGGUGUAGUUAAUGAUGGGGCAGAGAUGGGCUACAUUUUCUAACGUAGAAUAUACCAACCGCAACAUGAAACAUGUGCUAUAAGGCGGAUUUAGUAGUAAAAUAGGCAAGACAAGCCAACUUGAAACAAGCCCUGGGACGCGUACACACCGCCCGUCACCCUCCUCGCCCAUAAUAAAGCCAAUAAAUAAAACCAACCCCACCAACAGAUGAGGUAAGU